CCUACGGGUGGCAGCAGUGAGGAAUAUUGGUCAAUGGGCUUACGCCUGAACCAGCCAAGUCGCGUGAGGGAAGACUGCCCUAUGGGUUGUAAACCUCUUUUGUCAGGGAGCAACGCCGGCUACGUGUAGCCGGACUGAGAGUACCUGAAGAAAAAGCAUCGGCUAACUCCGUGCCAGCAGCCGCGGUAAUACGGAGGAUGCGAGCGUUAUCCGGCUUUAUUGGGUUUAAAGGGUGCGUAGGCGGAAUGCCAAGUCAGCGGUAAAAUCGCGGGACUCAACCUCGCUCCGCCGUUGAAACUGGCGGUCUUGAGUGGGCGAGAAGUAUGCGGAAUGCGUGGUGUAGCGGUGAAAUGCAUAGAUAUCACGCAGAACUCCGAUUGCGAAGGCAGCAUACCGGCGCCCAACUGACGCUGAAGCACGAAAGCGUGGGUAUCGAACAGGAUUAGAUACCCUAGUAGUC
rnacentral:rRNA from 1 species